AGGGAGGAGUAGCAGUCAGUGUUUGGUAUUUAAGGAAAACAUACAUUUCUAAUUCAUCUAUAUGCAGUCAUUGACAUUAAGAAUAUUCACAGAGCCACAGGCUGGCUGGAAUAUACCCUCAAGGAAAACUAUUUCUCUACUCACAGAAUACUCCUGACACCAUGUGUGUGGGCAUUUUUUCCCACACCAAAUUCUUGGACUCUUCAGACACCAACUGACUGUCUUAAAUUCAAUUCUUUAUUUUUUUUUAAAGUACUUAAAGCCAACAGACGUUUUCAAAACCGAGCAUAACCAGGCUGAUGGAGACGUGAAUGCAGUGCCAUGUAGAAGUGGUAGAGUGGCCAGCAGUUGGCAGUGGAGAGACCAGACUUAGGAAGCUGUCCCUACAGAACGUAAAGACUCCUAACUCUGGGAAACGAA